rnacentral:rRNA from 1 species
GACGUAGGGCGCGAGCGUUGUCCGGAUUUAUUGGGCGUAAAGAGCUCGUAGGCGGCCUGUUGCGUCGGCUGUGAAAACCCGGGGCUCAACCCCGGGCCUGCAGUCGAUACGGGCAGGCUAGAGUCCGGUAGGGGAGACUGGAAUUCCUGGUGUAGCGGUGAAAUGCGCAGAUAUCAGGAAGAACACCCGUGGCGAAGGCGGCUCUCUGGGACGGUACUGACGCUGAGACGCGAAAGCGUGGGGAGCGAACAGG